AACGCGAAGAACCUUACCUGGGCUUGACAUGCAUCGCUAAUCGCGUGAGAGCGCGUGAGUGGAGCAAUCCACACUUUGCACAGGUGCUGCAUGGCUGUCGUCAGCUCGUGUCGUGAGAUGUUGGGUUAAGCCCCGUAACGAGCGCAACCCUUAUUCUUAGUUGCCAGCGCGUAAUGGCGGGAACUCUAAGGAGACUGCCGGUGACAAACCGGAGGAAGGCGGGGACGACGUCAAGUCAUCAUGGCCCUUACGGGUAGGGCUACACACGUGCUACAUUGGACGAGACAAUGAGAUGCAAAUCUGCAAAGACUAGCUAAUCUAUAAACUCGUUCUAAGUUCGGAUUGUAGGCUGCAACUCGCCUACAUGAAGGUGGAAUCGCUAGUAAUCGCUGGUCAGCUAUACAGUGGUGAAUUCGUUCCCGGGUCUUGUACACACCG
rnacentral:rRNA from 1 species